rnacentral:rRNA from 1 species
AUGAACGUCUGGCAAGCUCGAUCUGAGGACUACUCAAUAGUUGAGUGUGCCAUGCUUUACAGCUUAGAACCGGGACUUCAAAGACGUAUUGAACAUCAUGGAGCAUAUAAGAUGUUCCAAGAGUUGAAGUUAAUAUUUCAAGCAAAUGCCCGGGUUGAGAGAUAUGAAGUCUCCAACAAGUUCUACAGCUGCAAGAUGGAGGAGAAUAGUUCUGUCGGUGAACACAUACUCAAAAUGUCUGGGUAUCAUAACCACUUGACUCAGCUGGGAGUUGAUCUUCCAGUUGAUAGUGUUAUUGACAGAGUUCUCCAAUCACUGCCACCAAGCUACAAAGCCUUCGUGAUGAACUAUAAUAUGCAAGGGAUGACGAAAACGAUUCAUGAGCUCUUCGCAAUGCUUAAGGCCGCGGAGGUAGAAAUCAAGAAGGAGCAUCAAGUGUUGAUGGUUAACAAGACCACUAGCUUCAAGAAAAAGGGCAAGGGAAAGAAAGGGAACUUCAAGAAGAAUGGAAAGCAAGUUGCCACUCCCGGGAAGAAACCCAAAGCUGGACCCAAGCCUGAAACUGAGUGCUUCUACUGCAAAGGGAAUGGUCACUGGAAGCGGAACUUCCCCAAAUACUUGGCGGAUAAGAAGGAUGGCAAAGUGAACAAAGGAACCAUGGAAUAA